rnacentral:hammerhead_ribozyme from 1 species
AUCCAACUGACGAAUCCGAAACAGGAUGAAACACGGGUCUUCUAU